AACAAUACGUUUUAACAAAAACAAAUCUGUAAUUGAAGCUUGUUUAGAAUCAAUUGUCGAAUUAAGUGUUUUGAAGAAUCUUUGGAAAUGUGGUCGGCAUUUUACAAUUUUUGUCGAGGGUCCGUCGGUUCUCGCUUUAUCCAGGGACUCAGAGAUGGCGCGUAGUGGCAUUGUGUAGUCUUUGGAAGAUCUCGAACAAAAGGCAGAUUAUGUUCUUAAACGUUAGUAAUUGAACGGCGAAUCUAUUUUGUUUGCGUCUAUUGAAGAGAUGGAAGAAGAGACACCUUCGAUUAAAAAACCACCACGAAUAUAAUCGUCGAGUGCUUUGGAAAUCAAAAAAGGCAGGUUUUGAUUUUGCCUCACACCGGACGAGAUAAUUUUUCGUAUGUAUGUAUGUGAAAAUGCACGUUUAUCUCACAGCUGUGUCUUUUUACAAAAAUAAACUACAGAUCUAUCUUGAAAAUUUCCAGUAAAAAAACAACGUAAAACGGUUUAGACUUGUUUAAUUACUAAAAAUUACUUUCAACCAGUAUACACAAAACUGAAAUUUACAAAAGAAUUUUUUUUUCACUGAAUACUCGGGCCUAAAAUACGAAGAUAUAGUAUCACCAUAGAAAGGGCUAUGUUUCAAGCGGAUAAAAACAACUUUUGAAAAGUGAAAAGAAAUGAUAAAUGGCGCUUGAAACUUGGACGCCUUUUAACUACUAAAAUAAUACAGAUGCAGUAAAAUAAAUUGGCUCACCGAUAUUUUUCCUCUUCGAUGGAUGCAUUUUCUUCCGGAGUUAGCCUAAAAGAUUUUAACAACACUAAUUAUAAUGUCAACUGAUUGUAAUAACUCGUUUGUUUUCUACCAGCGACUGAAGAAAUUUGGAGAUUAUAAAGAAAACGAAGAACUUCCGAAUUAGUAACGAGGGGUUGAAAAUAUCUCAAAGAUGCAGUCCACACAUGCCAAGAUCAUGAACAAUCGCAAGGUCAUCUCGAACGAAGACGAGUUCGCUACAUACGGGUAAUGAACGCGCAAAUAUCAGGAUUAGAAAAUGGACGAUCGGCAGUUGGAACGGCCUGGCAGCCGGAAACUGCAGAAACUGGAAGAGAUCCUGACCAUUAUGAAAGAGCUCCAAGAAAUUCUCACAGUGGAAAAGGACGAGUUCGAUAUUUACGGAGAGCACGUUGCCGCCCAGCUAAGGAGCAUUUCAGAUAAAAAAGCCGUCGCCUUGGCCAGACGUAAAAUUGACGAUGUCCUGUUCGCCGCUGUGAUGGGAGAAUACAACUGGAAAAACAUAGGGGGAAAAUAAACUGUUCCUCAGUCUCGUCCGUUCGAGAAUGAACUAUCGCCCUGUCAUACCGUUGUUUUCGCCAUUAACUAUAAAUAUAAUUAUUUG
rnacentral:misc_RNA from 1 species